rnacentral:rRNA from 1 species
CAGCCGCCACGGGAAUACGUAGGUGGCAAGCGUUGUCCGGAAUUAUUGGGCGUAAAGGGCUCGCAGGCGGUUUCUUAAGUCUGAUGUGAAAGCCCCCGGCUCAACCGGGGAGGGUCAUUGGAAACUGGGAAACUUGAGUGCAGAAGAGGAGAGUGGAAUUCCACGUGUAGCGGUGAAAUGCGUAGAGAUGUGGAGGAACACCAGUGGCGAAGGCGACUCUCUGGUCUGUAACUGACGCUGAGGAGCGAAAGCGUGGGGAGCGAACAGGAUUAGAUACCCCGGUAGUCCCUGUCUCUUAUAC